GGAGCCGUUGGUGGCGAAGGCGGAGACGAAGAUGACAAGGAGAAAGAAGAGGAGGCCGAGAGAGAAAGGCAAGAAGCCAUCAGGGAGGCUGAGGAACGAAGAAAGGAGAAGCAUCGCAAAAUGGAAGAGGAACGGGAGAAGAUACGGCAGGAAAUCAGGGACAAGUAGAACAUAAAGAAAGCGGC